UACGUAGGUGGCAAGCGUUGUCCGGAAUUAUUGGGCGUAAAGCGCGUGUAGGCGGUUCGGUAAGUCCGCUGUGAAAGUCGGGGGCUCAACCCUCGAAAGCCGGUGGAUACUGUCGGGCUAGAGUACGGAAGAGGCGAGUGGAAUUCCUGGUGUAGCGGUGAAAUGCGCAGAUAUCAGGAGGAAUACCAGCGGCGAAGGCGGCGCUCUGGGCCGGUACUGACGCUGAGGAGCGAAAGCGUGGGGAGCAAACAGG
rnacentral:rRNA from 1 species